AGGCUGAAGAGCUUCCUGACAUUAAAGACUUCAUCUCUGGGCAAACCCCAAAUAACGGGACCAUCAAGCAAUAGUGGAUGUCACAGUAGCAAAUGUCAACUAAAAGAGAGUUGCUGCUGUAUAAUUUCAGCCCAUGUGCAGGUGUAAGCAUUAACAUUAAAGAUGGAAGGUCUGUAUUGGCAUUUUUGGUCACUAUAUUUUAAAGGAAAUUUAGUCUUCUUGUCUAAGAUCACAGA
rnacentral:lncRNA from 12 species